rnacentral:rRNA from 1 species
UACGUAGGCAGCAAGCGUUGUUCGGAAUUACUGGGCGUAAAGAGUGUGUAGGCGGUGCUCUAAGUUUGGUGUGAAAUCUCCCGGCUCAACUGGGAGGGUGCGCCGAAAACUGGAAUGCUUGAACAUGGGAGAGGAAAGCGGAAUUCCUGGUGUAGCGGUGAAAUGCGUAGAUAUCAUUUGGAACGCCAAUGGUGAAAACAGGUAGCUGGGGCUGUGCUGACGCUGAGACACGAAAGCCAGGGGAGCAAACGGG